rnacentral:rRNA from 1 species
GAGUAACACGUGUGUAACCUGCCCUUGACUUUGGGAUAACUUCGGGAAAACGGGGCUAAUACCGGAUAGAUGCUCCUGCUGCAUGGUGGGGGUUGGAAGGUUCUUUUUUUGGGGAGUGACUCUCGGCUUAUCGCCUUGUUGGUGGGUAAGUAGCUUAUCAAGGAACUAACGAUCAGUCGGCCGACGAGGUUGACCGGCGACCUGGGAAAUGGGAACCGGCCCAACCUCCUACGGGCGGCAGCAGUGGGGAAUAUUGAAUCUUGGGCGAUGGCCUAAUGCCGCACCGACCCAUGCCGGAUGACGGCCUUAGGGUAGUAAACCGUUAUCUCCUGUGAUUAAGCAAGAGUGAAGGAUAUGGGUAAAGAAGUGCCGCUUAACUACACCUAACCAGCAGCCCUGUGCCAACUACGUGCCAGCGUUGCCCGGUUUUAUUGGGUGUCAGCGUCGUAGGGGAUUAUUGGCCGUAGAGGGCUCGUCGUGGGGCUUUAAGUCUGAUGUGCUUUCCCUCGGGCUCAGACUUGUGAGAAUGUAUGAGAAACAUGGGAAUUCUCUGAGUGGAGAAGAGGAAAGCGCAAAUCUCAGGA